CGGCCUGAGGUCGGACGAGGCUACCCGCUGAAUUUAAGCAUAUUACUAAGCGGAGGAAAAGAAACUAACGAGGAUUCCCUCAGUAACGGCGAGUGAAGCGGGACGAGCCCAGCGCCGAAUCCGGCCGCUUAUGGAGCGGACGGAAUUGUGGCGUAUGGAAUUCGCUUCGAGCGCGGACCGGCUGCCCACGUCCUUCUGAUCGAGGCUUCAUCCCAUAGCGGGUGUCAGGCCCUUGGCGGCGGCUGGCCCGGGCUCUCGGUGUCUUCCCGGAGUCGGGCUGUUUGGGAAUGCAGCCCAAAGCGGGUGGUAAACUCCAUCUAAGGCUAAAUACGGUCACGAGACCGAUAGCGAACAAGUACCGUGAGGGAAAGUUGAAAAGCACUUUGGAGAGAGAGUUAAAAAGUACGUGAAACCGUCGAGAGGCAGACGGGAGGGC
rnacentral:ncRNA from 1 species